UUGUUAUUAUUGCACGGUAAAAUCAUGACAUAAGGUAUGUUGUAUUGUCUUGGUAAGAUUUGGGUUUGUGAUCUGUAAAAUAAUGAAGUCUAUCUCGGUGUUUAUGUCUAUAUCAUGUUAGGUAUCAAAUGAUGUGUGAUAUGUGUGUUACAAAAUGAUUGUUACGGUGUUUUGUGGGGUUGCAUGCUUUCAGCUUGAGAAACCUAGGUUCUAUAUAAAUGUUAGCAAAAAGAGUCAUAUUUACGCUUGUACUAUUUAAUUUUAGUUAUAUAUACCCUUUGUUAUACUUUUCGACAUUAAUUACCCUCGCCAUUACACUUUUGAACACAAAUACCCCUGCCACUAAUGGAAAACUUAGACCCGCCUUCAAAAUAAUACAUGGAGGUCAUCUGUUAAUCC
rnacentral:lncRNA from 1 species